rnacentral:rRNA from 1 species
UACGUAGGGUCCGAGCGUUGUCCGGAAUUAUUGGGCGUAAAGAGCUCGUAGGCGGUUCGUCGCGUCUGCCGUGAAUCCUCAGGCUCAACUUGAGGCGUGCGGUGGGUACGGGCGGGCUAGAGUGCGGUAGGGGAGAAUGGAACUCCUGGUGUAGCGGUGGAAUGCGCAGAUAUCAGGAAGAACACCGAUGGCGAAGGCAGUUCUCUGGGCCGUAACUGGACGCUGAGGAGCGGAAAGCGUGGGGAGCGAACAGG